rnacentral:rRNA from 1 species
AUGUUCUUUGAGAAAACAACAAAGAUAUUUUCUCGUUCGUUUUGCUUUUUCUUUGGAAGUGUAUUUUAUUGCCUCUUUGUUGAAACUUUGAAAAUAUUUUAUCUUUGCUUGUCUUCACAUUCUUCUUUGCCUUCUUCGAGAAAAAAAUUCCAAAAAUAUUUUUGUUGUGUUUCUUUAAGUUCUUCUUUGCCUUUUAUCUUUUCGAAAAUCCAAAAACAUUUCUCUUUCGUUGUUUGUUUGUUUUCCUUGCUUUCUUUUGGUUGUUCAUUUUGGCUUUUCUUUGUUGUUUUCUUUUCAUCGUUCCUUUUGUCUUUGUGUUUAAGUUGCAAAACCCAAAAAUUCCAACAACAUUUCUCUUUUGCCCUUAUUGAUUGUCAAAUAUUUGAGGUGUUCUUUUGUUUUUUUCUUCCUAUUUCUCUUUUGGAUGUUUGUUUGUUGUUUGCUUCUAAUAGUAAUCCCAAAAGAUUUCUUUGUCCUUUCGUUCUUUUGAAGUUCUUUGAGAAAAAAAAUAUUUUCUCGUUCGUUUUGCUUUUUCUUUGA